rnacentral:tRNA from 1 species
GCUUAAACGGUAGAGCACUCGGCUGAUAACCGAGAGGUCGCUGGAUCGAUACCAGC